ensembl:lncRNA MEG8 maternally expressed 8, small nucleolar RNA host gene
AAAUGGUACCCCACUGUAACGUCUUUGACUAAGGAUGAUACAGGUGGUAGUUAUAGAUAAUGGUCAACCUCUGGGUCAAGGAAAGUUGCACAAAGUGUUCAUUUUCUUAAGAGAAAAUGAAAUAAUUAUCCUUCAGAUAGUGAUUUCUCAAAUGUUUUCCUAAAGGGAAGAUGAUAAACACAGAUCAUGGAGGACUGUUUUAUCUGUUUGUGAUCUGCCGUCCUCUGUGAGCCUCAGGAUGGAUGUUUGCCAGCCGAUUCCAUGGUUACAAGCUCUAUAGCUGCAUCUAUGUGUUAGGAGCAUGAAGACCAAUAAUGGAUGCACUGAGCUGAUUAUGAAUUUAGCCCUGAUGAAGACUUGUGUUGCUGUCAUGAUAUGAAAGAUUCCAGUAAUGAACGCACUUGAGUUGAUUCAAGCACGCUUCCAUGGUCAUGAGCUCUGUGGUUGCAUCUGUGUGUUAGGAGCAUGCAGACCAAUAGUGAUAAUCUCGAGGUGAUUUAUGCAUUCUUCCAUGGCCACCAGCCUUAUGAUUGCAUCUGUGCGUCACAGCUUAGAGAUCAAUAAUGGAUGCAACAAGCUCUUUGAAUCAUUCUGUUGGGAUCAAGAUUGUUGUGUUCCCUCUGUUUGGAAAGAGACCAAGAAUGGAUACGCUCAGGUGAUUUAAGCAGUCUUCCAUGGCCACGAGCUCUGUGGUUGCCUCUGUAUAUUAAGAGCACAGAGAUUAAAAAUGGGUGCACUUGAGCCGAUUGAAACAUUCCUCCUUGCAUCUUUCUUCUGUGAUUGCAUCUAUUUGUUAGUAGCAUAGAGACCAAUAAUAGAUGGCUUGUGCUGAUGGAAGGAUUCCUCCCUGGUGACAUGCUGUGUCUGCCUCUUGAUUGGGAGCACGCAGACCUACAAUGAUGCACUUUUUAUGAUUUGAGAAUUCCUUCAUGGUCACGUGCUCUGUUUUUAUCAUGGUUGGGAGCCUGCAGAGCAAUAAGGGACAUGCCUUUGCUGAUUUGAGGAUUCCUCUGAGGUUGGGAGCUAAGUUUGCAUCAUGCUUAGAAAGGAGUGUGCAGACCUGUAAUGAUUGCACUUUGCUGAUUGAAGGAUUCCUUCAAGUCCAUGUGCUCCACUUGCACCAUUUUUAGGAUGGAGCCUGGAGACCUAUGUAAGUAAUAGUGGAAGUCCUCACCUUGCUUUGGGUGGUUUGUUCAAGAGGGUUCAAUGUGUUACAAAAAGGUGUAUAUUAUAAUCAAAGAUGAGCAGUUGUAUUUAAAUAAACAUGGGCCUGAUGUGAGGAUUAUAUUGAAGAUAUAUACAUGAGAAACUGAGGAUAAUUAAUAAAAUAAAUAUUCCUAUAUGUUAGGAAUAUCAUGGCUAUUCUUGUGGUUUUGUAAAUCAUAGGGCUUAAAGUUAUGGUUAGUGAAUUAACAGAUUAGUCAAUAGACAAGGAGGAAACGAACCCAAAAAUAGAA